rnacentral:rRNA from 1 species
AUUGAACGCUGGCGGCAUGCCUUACACAUGCAAGUCGAACGGUAACGGGCCUUCGGGUGCCGACGAGUGGCGAACGGGUGAGUAAUACAUCGGAACGUGCCCGAUUGUGGGGGAUAACGAGGCGAAAGCUUUGCUAAUACCGCAUACGAUCUACGGAUGAAAGCAGGGGACCGCAAGGCCUUGCGCGGACGGAGCGGCCGAUGGCAGAUUAGGUAGUUGGUGGGAUAAAAGCUUACCAGGCCGACGAUCUGUAGCUGGUCUGAGAGGAUGAUCAGCCACACUGGGACUGAGACACGGCCCAGACUCCUACGGGAGGCAGCAGUGGGGAAUUUUGGACAAUGGGCGCAAGCCUGAUCCAGCCAUGCCGCGUGCAGGAUGAAGGCCUUCGGGUUGUAAACUGCUUUUGUACGGAACGAAAAGCCUUCUUUUAAUACAGGAGGGUCAUGACGGUACCGUAAGAAUAAGCACCGGCUAACUACGUG